GGGUGGAUUAGUGGCGAACGGGUGAGUAACACGUGAGUAACCUGCCCUUAACUCUGGGAUAAGCCUGGGAAACUGGGUCUAAUACCGGAUAGGAGCGCCUACCGCAUGGUGGGUGUUGGAAAGAUUUAUCGGUUUUGGAUGGACUCGCGGCCUAUCAGCUUGUUGGUGAGGUAAUGGCUCACCAAGGCGACGACGGGUAGCCGGCCUGAGAGGGUGACCGGCCACACUGGGACUGAGACACGGCCCAGACUCCUACGGGAGGCAGCAGUGGGGAAUAUUGCACAAUGGGCGAAAGCCUGAUGCAGCGACGCCGCGUGAGGGAUGACGGCCUUCGGGUUGUAAACCUCUUUCAGUAGGGAAGAAGCGAAAGUGACGGUACCUGCAGAAGAAGCACCGGCUAACUACGUGCCAGCAGCCGCGGUAAUACGUAGGGUGCGAGCGUUAUCCGGAAUUAUUGGGCGUAAAGAGCUCGUAGGCGGUUUGUCGCGUCUGUCGUGAAAGUCCGGGGCUUAACCCCGGAUCUGCGGUGGGUACGGGCAGACUAGAGUGCAGUAGGGGAGACUGGAAUUCCUGGUGUAGCGGUG
rnacentral:rRNA from 1 species